CUGCUAUCUUGUAUUUAAUUUUUAUUUCUAGAAAAACACUUAUUCAGAUACAUUUGGCCCAGGAUCAUAUGACAAUUGAUGCCAGUUCUGCUCAGUUGCCACACAUUAUACAGGAAUACUACAAUAAAUUAGUUCAAGUUGAGAAGGACUUUCUUCAUCAUGGGCAUAAAAACUACAGUGCUGAAAUACUGCUGGAACGUGCAAAUAUUUGUAGGAUGACUGCCAAGCAGGAAAAGAACAAAAGAAACAAACACAGUCACUAUCUAGAUGCUUAUAACUUAGCUCAGAGAGCUGUAUCCAAAACAGAGGAAGUAUUUAAUAACAUUUGUAGUUUAUUUGCAUUGAAUGAGAGUAAAAAUGUUAGUAUCCCAUUAAUGAGACAACUAGCUCU
rnacentral:lncRNA from 1 species